AGGACGAACGCUGGCGGCGUGCCUAACACAUGCAAGUCGAACGCGCUCCAUUCGGUAGCAAUACUGAUGAAGAGCGAGUGGCGAACGGGUGAGUAGCACGUGAGCAACCUGCCCCGAAGACUGGGACAACACCGGGAAACCGGUGCUAAUACCGGAUAUCCCUAUCGGACCGCAUGAUCUGAUAAGGAAAUGGAUUCCGCUUCGGGAGGGGCUCGCGGCCUAUCAGCUAGUUGGUGAGGUAACGGCCCACCAAGGCAUCGACGGGUAGCUGGUCUGAGAGGACGAUCAGCCACACUGGGACUGAGACACGGCCCAGACUCCUACGGGAGGCAGCAGUGGGGAAUCUUGCGCAAUGGGCGAAAGCCUGACGCAGCAACGCCGCGUGGAGGACGAAGGCUUUCUGAGUUGUAAACUCCUUUCAGCAGGGACGAUAGUGACGGUACCUGCAGAAGAAGCACCGGCCAACUACGUGCCAGCAGCCGA
rnacentral:rRNA from 1 species